CAGGUAAAUGAACUUUCUUUUGGAUUAUGUAGUGAGUGUCAUACACCUAAAAUACUGCCAAGAGCUCAGCUGGAUUUCUAAACUAGGAUUCCAAAUACCUGCUGAAGGGACAGAGACUAUAGAUGAACUCACUUCUACCCCACUUCUGUGGAAAGAAGAGAAUGACCAGCUGGUGAUGAAAACCUAAUGAUUGGUUUGCUUAAUCAAGAAUUAUUUGUUCAUGUCUUUAUCCCAGGAGAGAUUGCAGAAGUCUUGGGAGUACCUUCCAUGCCCAAAGGUUUGGGAGCAUGAGGCGCCUGGCAGAUCCUACAAUACUGCUGGUAAAGUACAAUGCACAAAAACACAGUACUCUCCACGCACUGUUUCAUCAUGACUGUCUGUUAGCAGGAAAACAACAAACGACCUUUGGGACCUCGUUGUACUUUUCCACGGUACCAACUGUGGCACUGAAAUGGUACUGAGAGUACAAAUAUAUGUUUAAUCCAUUUAUGCCACUUCUGAGGAUCAAAGAAACAAAGGGGAACAAAAAGCAGUUAUGAAAACUAUUUUCUCUAAAGAGUGAUUUUCCCAGGCAAAACUCACCCCCAGUCGUAGGAGAUAACCUGGAUUCCUGCCUGAGCUGUUCGGAGCUGAAG